UGGAGCAGCGGGGAUGAGAGGACAGAAGACAGGAGGGGUACCACUGGGCGGGGCAACCUGUUAAGGAUGGACGCCAACAACCAAUCAUAUUGCACGGGGGCGGAGUUUGCCCGAACACAGCUGAACUCUUCUACUCCACCGGCUUCGGUUUCUGUGGUAGAAACCACAUAUCAGCAGAAGAAGCCUUGAAUGGAGGAGUCUCUGGAGAUUCGAGGGCGGAGGAGGUGAAGCUCAACAACAGAGAGUCAGCAACUCAUUACUGCAGAAAUGCAGCACCCAGAGCAGCCGAAUCAAGACAUCACACAGCUCCUCAGCAGCUCCAGCAAUCAAUUAUUUAUCACAUUGGACCUCAGCAUUAAGAGCAAAGUCUCUCUUCUCUCACGAGUAUGAAUUAUCUUUCGGGUUCCGGUAUGUAGAGAAUGCGUCUAUACAAUGCAGUCAUGAUAGUCAAAAAGAGCGUGAUAUCAUUUAAAAUAGUCUAUACCCACUUUUUUAAGGUAUAAAUACAGUGGUGCAUAAACGUUUGUGCAUAAAUAGGACCUAAAACAUCAGCAAAUUUCCUAUUAGUAAAUUUUAAAAAAAUUACAUUUAUUUAUUGAGGACAAUAAUCCCAUAUUACAUAUUUGUGAGUGGCAAACAUACAGCUCUGGAAAAAAAAAAGAGAUUGAAAACUUUUAGAAAAUAAUCAAGAGAAAGAUCAAUGAUCACAAGCCAUCAAACCAAACUGAACUGCUUGAAUGUUUGCACCAGGAGUAAAGCAGCAUAAAGUUAUCCAAAAGCAGUGUGUAAAACCGGUGGAGGAGAACAUGAUGCCAUGAUGCAUGAAAACUGUGAUUAAAAACCAGGGUUAUUCCACCAAAUAUUGAUUUCUGAACUCUUAAAGCUUUAUAAAUAUGAACUUGUUUUCUUUAUAUGAUUUAAGGUCUGAAAGCUGUGCACCUUUUUAAUUAUUUC
rnacentral:lncRNA from 1 species